rnacentral:misc_RNA from 1 species
UUUCCGUAGGUGAACCUGCGGAAGGAUCAUUAUUGAAUAACCGAGGUGCCAGGGCUUCCGCUGACACGAAAGGUCGGGCACGCCCGACUGCCCUCACACACAUACAUCUCACCCCUAUGUGCACCACCGCGUGGGUCCCCCUUUGGCUUUUUCGGAAGGGGGCUUACGUUUUCACACAAACUUUGUAUGCAGUGUAGAAUGUAUUCUUUGUGUUUGCGAUCACGCAAUCAAUACAACUUUCAACAACGGAUCUCUUGGCUCUC